AUACAUGAGCAAAAUCUCAACUUUAUUAGAAGAGACGCAUUUAUUAGAUAAAAAGCCAAUGCAUGCUUUUACAGUAUGGAAAUUGGUGAUUUAUAAUAACUUGGCAAAUCGCAAAGUGAAAACAGGCGAUAAAUCAUUCAAGUUUCUGACCUAUCAGCUUUCGACGGUAUGGUAUUGGCUUACCGUGGCAGUGACGGUUAACGGGGGAUUAGGGUUCGAUUCCGGAGAGGGAGCCUGAGAAACGGCUACCACAUCUAAGGAAGGCAGCAGGCGCGCAAAUUACCCAAUUCUAACAGUUUGAGAGAGGUAGUAACAAGAAAUAACAAUACAAGGCAAUUAAAAUGUUUUGUAAUUGGAAUGAUAGAAAUUUAAACCCUUUUUAAAGUAUCAAUUGGAGGGCAAGUCUGGUGCCAGCAGCCGCGGUAAUUCCAGCUCCAAUAGCGUAUAUUAAAAUUGUUGCAGUUAAAAAGCUCGUAGUUGAAGUUCUGCUAAAAGUAACCGGUCUGCUUUUAAUAAAAGUGGUAUCUUGGUGUGUAUUUAGCAAUGAUGUCCUUUGAAGUGUUUUUUACUUUAUUGUAAUAAAGCAUAUUCAGGACUUUUACUUUGAGAAAAUUAGAGUGUUUCUAGCAGGCUGACGCUUUGAAUACUGCAGCAUGGAAUAAUAAG
rnacentral:rRNA from 1 species